rnacentral:misc_RNA from 1 species
AAGAGUCAUACGUGCGGCCGAGUUUACUUGGUCGCCGUAACACUCCACCCUUUGUUUACAUAUCUUUGUUGCUUUGGCAGGCCCGCUCUCGGGCCACCGGCUUCGGCUGGUCAGCGCCUGCCAGAGGACCUAAACUCUGUUUGUCUAUAAUGUCUGAGUACUAUAUAAUAGUUA